AUUGAACGCUGGCGGCAUGCUUUACACAUGCAAGUCGAACGGCAGCGCGGGCUUCGGCCUGGCGGCGAGUGGCGAACGGGUGAGUAAUGCAUCGGAACGUGCCCAGUAGUGGGGGAUAGCCCGGCGAAAGCCGGAUUAAUACCGCAUACGACCUGAGGGUGAAAGCGGGGGACCGAAAGCCCCCCCGCUUUUGGGCGGGCCGAUGUCGGAUUAGCUAGUUGGUGGGGUAAAGGCUUACCAAGGCGACGAUCCGUAGCUGGUCUGAGAGGACGACCAGCCACACUGGGACUGAGACACGGCCCAGACUCCUACGGGAGGCAGCAGUGGGGAAUUUUGGACAAUGGGGGCAACCCUGAUCCAGCCAUGCCGCGUGCGGGAAGAAGGCCUUCGGGUUGUAAACCGCUUUUGUUCGGGAAGAAAUCCUCUGGGCUAAUACCCCGGGGGGAUGACGGUACCGGAAGAAUAAGCACCGGCUAACUACGUG
rnacentral:rRNA from 1 species